UCAAGAAAAUAUCUAAAAUUAACUAAUGCAAAAGAAAUGUAGAAUUUUGAAAACAGUAUUUCAAAUUUCAAUUUCCGCAACCAAAAUAUACAACUACAAGAGGUACAACAAUUUUUUUUGUUUACUUAGUUGAUUGAAUAAUGAAACAAAUUAGGCUACUAGGAAUAGUGAUCAACUUAAAACAAAUUAGGCUACUAGGAAUAGUGAUCAACUUAAAACAAAUUAGGCUACUAGGAAUAGUGAUCAACUUAACACAUGGUUUCUAUUCAAGUAACCAAACACCCUAGAGUGAUAAUCAAUUGAAUAUGAUGAAAUAAAUGUACCUAUUGAAUAGUGUCAAAGAUAAACACGAACAUAUAAAUAGCAUUGUAACUGAAGCUAUAAACAAAAGAAAAUAUUGCUCACGUGAUCCAUGUUACACAAGAAAUGCAAUGUCAUUAUCCUCAGACUUGUAACAAGCACGAAACAUAUUUACUUUUCUUUGUCCAACAUUGCUACUGCUAAAGGGGGCUGAAGAUAGGUAAGAAUAACUUUGUUGGGCCAGGGGCUUCCGGCGUCACGGGAAGAGUUGCCCUUCACAUAUUUCUUAAGGUGUUCCUUCAAAAUCAGCCUCUCAAUUUCUUUCUUAAGUUGGUAACAAUCCUCAAUGUGUUGUCCCUUAACUCUAUAGAACUUGCACCAUCUACCUUCAGAGGACGGCGUAGGGUGAAGAACCUCACAUCACGGCGGGUGUUCAGGGGCAUAAAAUUCUCUGCCGUCUUGCCUAAUCUUUAGGGGCAUAAAAUUCUCUGCCGUCUUGCCUAAUCUUUUGAACGCAGUCUUGCUCUAGAGGUGUGAACCUUCGGCGUUGGGAACGCGCUCCUUGACGUCUCGCGCCUUCUUCUCAACGUUGUUUUACUUGCCAUUUAUAUAACAUUCUGCUCUAGUGACUACAUCCGCCACUAUUGAUGAGAUGUUUAUGCAUUAAAUCAAAGAUGAUUGGAAGAACAAUCAAUAAAAAUUCAAACAUCUCAUCAAUAGUGGUGGAUCAUUAAUAUAAAAACAGCAAACUCCAAUACAUAUACCAAGAACCAAAUAAAACAGCAAUAUCAAGAAACAAAGCAUCCAAGGGAAAAAGAUUGAGAAUACAAGAACUUGAAUACCAAAUAGGAGGGAGAGAACUAGAAGGAUGUGUGUUCAUCUGCAACACAAAGGAAAAAAAAGACUUGAGAAUACAAGAACUUGAAUAACAAAUAAGAGAGUGAUAGAACUAAAAGGAAUCAUGUUUUCAUCAGCCGCACCAAAAAAAAGCAAGAGUAACAAAUCAACAAAUAUAUGCCUUUUAGGAUUUAAAGAAUACUUGAAGUAUAAGAAUUUACUAGAGAUCGCUAAAUAAAAACUGAGGCUCUGUGACAAAUGACAAUAUUUUGCCAAACCACACUGCAGAAAAGUAAGUUCCCGAAUCAACUCAUGUCUUACAAAUAGAAUCCAAAAAUAAAAAUAGUGAAGGAUGAAUCCUUGAAUAUAUUUGAUUUAUACAAACUCUCCUUUCUUCUCUCUCCUCUCUUCUCCAUUGCAUCAGGUAUCUCCAAACAUUCUAGACAUUCAAAUUUCCAUCUGCAAAACAGACGCAUGUCUCAUUUAUCCAAGAAAGAGGUGGACAUAUAUAAUAUAUAACCAUAAAUACUAAAAUUCUCCUAAAUCAUAAACUCAUAAUUCUUAACACAAAAAUCAAUCCUGCCAGAUUGUACAUCAUAGAACACCCCAAAACAAGUACAUUCAAGAGAGAGAAAAUGACUCAUUAAUCCAAAGGCUUAAACUAAAGCAUAUCCUUCAUAAUGUCGACCACAACUUUUAAAUACCACGGUACAUUCAUAGCUUCAUGGCUUAAGCUAACGCAUCUCCUUCAUAAUGUCGACCACAACUUUAAAUACCACAGUACAUUCAUAGCUUCUCUCGCCUGUAAAACAUAAAGCAAAAUGUCCUUGAUAAAUCUAUCACAGCUUCCACAAUAUAUAUCCUCCCAUGACACCCACAAGGAACUCAUGAAGAAAACAAGUAAACUAGACCUUGAAUAAAGAAAUCAUGAAGACGUAAAGAAUUUAUGGUAAAGUAGAGACCAGAUGAACCACAACAGCAGCCAAUUGCAGAUUCUGUGUUAUGUUAUAUGCAGAUAAGAAAUCCCAUGUUUUAUCCCAAAUCGGCGGAAUGGAAAGUAUGUGAACCUAUUAAGCCUACCAUGGGUUCCAAAUGCAAACUCAACAGAUCUGACAAGUAGAGGCUAAGUAUCAAAAUAAAACAAAAACUGAAAUGUAAAGAGUCUUGGUAGAUAUGACCAAAUUAAAGCAUAGCAACAAUAAAGAGUAGGCAACACAACCUACAAAAGAACAAAUUUACCAUCCUAUUUGCAAGGACAUGUACCCAUAUGAAAUGACACAGUUUCGGCCUCCUCCUAAUACAAAGAAGUCCUUGGGCCACUGUAAGGAAGAGGGUGUCUUCUUAGGAGUAUCAUAAUCAUAAAUCAAAAAUAGCAAUGAAGACACAACAGCAAAAGAAGAAUAUAGAAAAACCUCUCCCAACAAAGUUAAGUUGUCCCUGAACAAAUCAUCAGAAUAAACAGCACACAUACGGCAUCACCAAGUUGUCUAAAAUCCUAUAUGAAAAGGCACAGACUUCUUCCAAAAUGAAGCAUAUAAUAGUAUUCAGGUUCCAGAUGAAGGAACAGAAAAGCUUCAACAAUAGAAGAAACACAAAAGUUUCAAACACCAACUUGGUGAAGAAACAGCAGUUCGGGAACAGAUACAUAUACAUAUAAGAAAAAAAUUAUAUCCAAACGAUGAAUGAGAAAGUAUGAUAAUCUCAAUAGACACAAAUGGAUAACAUGCAUACGGAAAUGUUCAUAUCUAAAUUCAAAUCCCUAAAUCAAGACUAGAAGCCCUUAAAUAUAUAAUACAGCGAGGAAAACAUGAAUAUGUUCUAGUUUAAUUUGUUCACAGCAUAGAGGCAGUCAUCUCCAAUUUCCCUAACUUCAAACAGGAAAAUUAACAUGGUGCAGUGAGACUAGGUGCAGUUAGACUAGAAAAGAAUGGUACUUCUGUGGUACACCAAACUCAUGCAAUACAUACAACUACAACAACCUAAUUGUUUCUCACUACGUGGUCUCCGCUACAUAGAUCAAACUCUAUCAUAAUAUUCUAUCCAAGACCAUUGUUUUUAACACACACAUGUACAUCAAUAUUUCACACUGAUAUUUCCUGUGACAUUUAGUGGUCCACAAGAAAAAAAGUUAAUAGUAGCAUGAUUCUCCAAACAACGCUAAUCAGUAGAUCGAUGUUACAAAAAGAGUCCACCAAAGUUGUCCUAAUUUAUCCAGAAUUAGAAAAAAAGUGCACUGUCAAAUUAAAGUUUGAAAACCAAAAUGUAAGAGAAAAGAAUUACAUAUAUGGUAAGAAAACUCUAAGGCUUUAUAGUUAUAAGUUAUAACCACCCCCUCACUGUACUCAAUAAACCUAUCCCUCACGUGUAACACCCAAGUGAAAAUCAUAAAGGAAUAAGGCAAUAAAACUAUGCAGAGAAUUAAUGAAUUCAAAAUAAUCCACAAUCCAAGAGUUCAUCAAAAUAAACCUAAUUGCUUUAUGUUGCACAAUCCAACCAAUCAUCGAGCAAAAUGUUCACGACAAUCAUCUAGGAAUAUUCCAUAUGACGUCUACAAGAAACUUAUGAAGAAACCCAAAAAAAUAAAAUCGUAAUAUAUACAAAGAAACAUGACAAAUUAAUAGUCAUAGUAGAGAUCACCCGAUGAAGUACAACAACAACAAUAACUAAUUGCAGCCUCUUGUGUCAUUUAGGCCCCCCUUUUGCCAAGUUCUUGCACCAGUUGCAGAUUCUGUGAGGAUACCCAUAUGGGAGAGGUGAUUUUUAGUUUCAUAACCUCUCUCCCCUGAAACACCAAGCAGAAUGUCUACGACGCCUACAUGGAACUCACAAAGAAAUCGAGAAAACAUGACCUUAAUAUAUACAAAGAAACAUGAAAAACUAAUAAUAGUCAUAGUAGAGAUCACCAGAUGAAAGUACAGCAACAACCAAUUUCAGACUCUUGUGCUCAAUUAGGCUCCCCUUAUGCCAACCAAGUUCUUGCACCAAUUGCAGAUUCGCUGAGGGAUACCCAUAUGGGAGAGAAGAUUUUUAAUUUCAUCUUAUAUAUCACAUAUGACAAGAAUAAAAAUGAAAAAAGAAAAAAGAAAUUAUAACAAAGGAAAUGGCAAAUCAACAAAAUUAAAAAAUUCCUUAUCCUCGGGAUAGAGAUGUUCCCUAAAAUCCGGAAUGGUUUCUUGUAUGCCUCCAACUAAAACAUGACGCACCAUUAGAGGACAAAUAUCCCAAAUACCAAAACAAAUAGACCAUAUGUGACCAAAAAAUAGAAUGUUCUUUCCCAAAGCUAUAGACAGAAAGAAUGUGAACCUUGACUGCAGAUAUAAUCAGGUUCCAUAGGUUAUCUCCUGUGUAAUAUCCAAACACAGAGACUAAGGACAUGACAAAAGUAGAUGUUGCGUAUCAAAAUCAAACAAAGAUCGAAAGGAGAAGAGUAUUGAUUUUGUGUAGCUUAAUCGAGAUUGGAAGAGAAUUGUGCAGCAAAAGCUUCUAAUUCUGAGAAUUGUGCUAAUUCCAAUUUUAAUUUACCCGCUACUUGUUUCAUGGCUUUUAUUUGAUCCGCCGAUCCAACUCUGGAAUCGGAAAUACCCACAUUAAUUACAGGUCUGAUCCCAGCAUUGAAUAAAUCGGCAUAUAAGAAUAUUUGACCAUCUGUAAUAGAAAUGACAUUAGUAGGAAUAUAAGUUGAAACAUCUCCGGAUUGGGUCUCAACUAUUGGUAAAGCAGUCAUACUUCCUUCACCUAACUAAGAACUUAGUAGAGAUGACCAAACUAGAGUGUAGCAGCAGAGAGAGUACAUAGCCCACCAAACUAGAGUGUAGCAACAGAGAGAGUACAUAGCCCACAAAGUAUGAGGAUUCAUAGGGAACAAAUUCCGCCCAACUCAAGAGAUCAUGUAAUGAUAAUUUUGGUUUCAUCCUAAUAGAAAGUCUUUGGCCACUGCAACAGAGAGGAUAUCUUUUAGGAGUAUGUAUCAUAAUCAUCUUAAAUCACAAAUAAAAACCAUAACAGAAGAAUAUAGAAAACCUAUCCAGAAAAAGUUAAGUUCUCCCCAUCCAACCAACCAUCAUAACAAACAAAACAUCUUAUAAAAAAUUCCUCAACUUGGAAGUGGAAAAGUAAUCCCAUAAAUCUUGUAUGUUAAGCCAGACUAUAACUCAGUUCCUAGUAUAGAAACGCACAAAAGCUUCACUGCCCGAAGAACUGCAAAAACUUAGACACAAGCAUGUAAGUAAAAAAAAACGCAGAUCCUCAAAAGAAGAUCUCCAUGCCUACACUUUGAGAACAGCAAUCAACACAAGAAAACAAGAACAAAAAAACUGAAAUCAAAGCACAGCAAGAAAUGUGAAAUUAAUGGCAUCUACUAACUGAGAAAAGGUAUCAAUACAAAAAUCCCUAACAACCUCGUUCAUAGCAGCCGGUCCAAGAAAUCAAGAACAACAAAACCUGAAAUCAAGCCUUCGUAGAGCAAUUAACUCGCCAACUCAUCAGGUAAUCAAGAAAAGAGACAAAGUAUGGCACAAGAACGAGAACAAGCAAACUAUGGAAUCAAGAAAUCAAAACCAUACCCUCUCCUGCAACCACCAAAGGCUCCAAGGAGGAGAAAAACAGGUUCACUAUUCAAUGAAGAAAUCUGAAACUAUUUCUCGUUCUUAGGUUAUCUCCUGUGUAACAUCCAAACACAAGAGACUAAGGAUUUGACAAAAGUAGAUGUUGCGUAUCAAAAUCAAACAAAGAUUGAAAUGAGAAGAGUUUUAGUAGAGAUGGCCAAACUAGAGUGUAGCAACAGAGAGAGUACAUAGCCCACAAAAUUCCAUUCAACUCGAGGGAUCAUGUAAUGAUAAUUUUGGUUUCAUCCUAAUAGAUAAGUCUUUGGGCCACUGCAACAGAGAGGAUAUAUUUUUAGGAGUAUGUAUCAUAAUCAUCUUAAAUCACAAAUAAAAACAUCAUAACAUAUGAUUAUAGAAAACCCAUCCAGAAAAGUUAAGUUCUCCCCAACCAACCAAUCAUCAUAACAAACAACAGAUCUUGUAAAAAAUUCUUUAACAUGGAAGGGGAAAAGUAUCCCAUAAUCUUGUUUGUUAAGCCAGACUAUAACUCAGUUCCUAGUAUAGAAACGCACAAAAGCUUAUAGAAAACAGAAACCACCAGCAUGUAAGUAAAAAAAUCCCUAGGAUGAAUGAGAAAGUGUGAAAAUCUAAGCAAGUGUCUUUGUCACCAAGUUAAGUAGUUCACACCGCAGAAGAACUCAUCAUCUCCAAUAUCUCCAAAUUCAGACUGCAAACACUCAACACCCCGCAGAAGAACUCAUCUCCAAUAUCUCCAAAUUCAGACUGCAAACACUCAACACCAAAUGAAUCAACGGCAAAUGAUACAUUUACUCAUAUAUUUUACAGUGUCAUGUCCAUUGUAUCAAGAUUCGGAGAAAAAAUUUGAUUUAUCUACGGGAGAAAAAAUUUGAUUUACUUAUAUAUCAAGAACUCUUAACUCACUGCAUAACGGGAGAAAAAUAAUUGUUGUCUCAAUUAAAACAAAAAUUGAAAUGUUAAGUAUCUUAUUAGUAGAGAUGACCAAAUUAAAGCAUACAACACAGCCUGCAGAACAUGCUGGUUCUUUGGAACAGAUGCCUAUCCAAUUUGCAGGAUCUUGUCCUCAUCUGAAAAAUUAUAAUUAAGCUUCCACUUAAAACCAGGCGAUAUUGAUUUAGGAGUACAAGUCAUAAAUCACAACUAACAAUCAAAACAUAAACAAUAAAAGAAUAUCGUCACUCCCUUGCCAAUGUGUCCCCAACAAACAGAUUGUCAAAGCAAAUAACACCAACCAAGAUGUCCAUUUCUCUUUAGAACUACCUUUUUUGAGUUCUCUAAUUCUCUUUCCACAAAAGUAACAGCUGCUUGCAUCUUCUCGUAGAUUUCAAUAUCACUAUUCACUAGUCUUUCGCACUUUCAACCAAUUUUUCUGAUCAUCAGACCGCUUGAGGAAGAACACCAUUUGAAGGUGUUAAUCCAAGUAGUCCACAAAGCAAAGUCUGAAAUGUUCUAUUCAUAACAAAAAGUUAGGUAUGAUUAUAUUAGUGAUGAUGAGUUUCAUAAUUGGUAUAUAACGAUAGAUACCAUGAAUCGGAGUAAGAAUAUGUCAUAAUGAUAUGCAGAAGGUUUCUUGAGAUUGAAUUUUUUUUGUUGUGCCAUCCCAGAAGCAACACUAUGAUCAAAGAAGUAAAGUCCUGCUACUAUCAACGCAGGAAUAAAAGCAGAAAAAAACCUAUGCUGGAGAAACCUUCCCCAUGUCAUGUGUCAUGUGUUACAAUCUAUUAUUAGUUGAUUUAGUCAUUUUUGAAAGAAAAACCAAACUAGGCUUUAUUUCAACGUGAAUUACUUUGAUAACUGUCCAAUGGUGUAAAGAUGUAGGGGACAUUUUUAACCCAAUCAAAAAGGCUCAUGUAACAAUAAAAGGCUCACCAGAAAUGUGCAAACUUUUUUACUGUCAAAUUAUAGACCAAAAACCAAAAUUUAUAUCAUACACUUUUGUGGGAAAAAAGUAGUAUUUACGGUAAUAACCUCCAAGUGAAAAUCAUAAAAGAGUAAAUCAGGAAGAGGUGCAAUAAAAAUUGAAACAAAAUAAACCUGGGGACUGAUUCUACACAAUGUUAUUGUUUCAAAACACAACUCUGCAGAAGAAGAAAAAAAGAGUCAUUUCAGUUGAUAUGUAUGGCGAUGAAUACCAGAAGCGAAUACAACACAUGAAGACCGAACAACUGAAAAUAAAACAAACUACGUGUGUUCACAAAAUUACAUUUCCUGCAACACCAGAGAAAAUAAUAAAUUAAGAAAAAUGAUUUCAACAGCGAGAAAGAAUUGUUGUAAACCAGACAAUUUUUGAGAAAAUAAUAAAUUAAGAAAAAUGAUUUCAACAGCGAGAAAGAAUUGUUGUAAACCAGACAAUUUUUAAAGAAAUCAUCAAAUCAAAACUCAGAGGCUCGACUAUAUUGAAAGAUAGUUAUUAUUUAACAAUAGUUGAAAACUAGAAGGAGUUUAAAAGAAAUCACCAAAACAAACUCAGAAGCUCCACUCUAUAAUGAAAGAUAGAGAUUAUUUUGGCAAACCACUGCAGAAAAACAAGUUCACAAUUCGAUUUGUAUGUAAUGUGAUCAAAGCCAGAAAAUAAAAAUGAUAUAGAAUGAGUCGUUGGAGGAAUUGAUUUAUAUCGGUGGCUCUUGUUCUUAUCCACAUUAUUAAGAAUUCCCAACGUGCUGCAACAAGGAUAAACACAUCUCAUUACUAUUUUACUUUAAAAAGUAUUGCUUGAUUAUCAAAUGAAUAACUGUCCAUAAAAAACUAUGCAUUAAAUCAAAGAUAAUUGGAAGAACAAUCAAUCAAAACCCGAACAACUCAUCAUCAGCGGUAAAUCAUUAAUAUAAAAUCAGAAAACUCCAAUAUCAUUACCAUCAAGAGAAUUAAUGAAAUCAAAAUAAUCCACAAUCCAAGAGUGUAUCAAAAUAAAACCCAAUUGCUUUAUAUGACACAACAAUAUUUUUAAAAAUAUUGCAUAAUCCAAGAAGAGUGUUAAAAUAAACUUGAUUGCUUGAUACUACAAGUGAUUUUGCAACUCACAAAUUCAACAAAAUAUGAUAAACAUGUAAAUGUAUCAAAACUGCAAAACAUAACCAAUAUUUCCAAAUUAAAGUUCGAAAACCAAAAUGCAAGAGAAAAUAAUUUAUAUAUAUGGUAAGGAAACUCUAAGGCUUUAGUUAUAAGUUAUAACCACCCCCUCACUGUACUCAAUAGAUCUCUCAUGUGUAACACCCAAGUGAAAAUCAUGACGGAAUAAAUAAACUAGGCAAUAAAACUAUGCCGAGGAUUAAUGAAUUCAAAAUUAAUAAUAGUCAUAGUAGAGAUCACCAGAUGAAAGUACAGCAACAACCAAUUGCUGGCUCUUGUGCUCAAUUAGGCUCCCCUUAUGCCAACCAAGUUCUUGCACCAGUUGCAGAUUCGCUGAGGGAUACCCAUAUGGGAGAGAAGAUUUUUAAUUUCGUCUUAUAUAUCACAUAUGACAAGAAUAAAAAUGAAAAAAGAAAAAAGAAAUUAUAACAAAGGAAAUGGAAAAUCAACAAAAUUAAAAUAUUCCUUAUCCUCGGGAUAGAGAUGUUCCCUAAAAUCCGGUAUGGUUUCUUAUAUGCCUCCAACUAAAACACGACACACCAUUAGAGGACAAAUAUCCCAAAUACCAAAACAAAUAGACCAUAUGUUACAAAAAAAAUUGAAUGUUCUUUCCCAAAGCUAUAGACAGAAAGAAUGUGAACCUUGACUGCAGAUAUAAUCAGGUUCCAUUCGUUAUCUCCUGUGUAACAUCCAAACACAAGAGACUAAGGACCUGACAAAAGUAGAUGUUGCGUAUCAAAAUCAAACAAAGAUCGAAAUGAGAUGUGUAGCUUUAUCGAGAUCAGAAGAGAAUUGUGCAAAAGCUUCUAAUUCUGAGAAUUGUGCUAAUUCCAAUUUUAAUUUACCAGCUACUUGUUUCAUGGCUUUUAUUUGAGCCGCCGAUCCAACUCUGGAAUCGGAAAUACAAACAUUAAUUAAGGUCUGAUCCCAGAAUUGAAUAAAUCGCCAUAUAAGAAUAUUUGACCAUAUGUAAUAGAAAUGACAUUAGUAGGAAUAUAAGCUGAAACAUCUCCGGAAUGGGUCUCAACUAUUGAUAAAGCAGUCAUAGUUCCUUCAUCUAAGUGAGAACUUAGUAGAGAUGACCAAACUAGAAUGUAGCCACAGAGAGAGUACAUAGCCCACAAAGUAUGAGGAUUCAUAGGGAACAAAAUUCCGCCCAACUCAAGAGAUCAUGUAAUGAUAAUUUUGGUUUCAUCCCAAUAGAAACAUCAUAACAGAAGAUUAUAGAAAACCUAUCCAGAAAAAGUUAAGUUCUCCCCAUCCAACCAAUCAUCAUAACAAACUGACACAUCUCGUAAAAAAAACUCUUUAACAUGGAAGGGGAAAAGUAUUCCAUAAUCUUGUAUGUUAAGCCAGACUAUAACACAGUUCCUAGUAUAGAAACGCACAAAAGCUUAUAGAAAACAAAAACCACCAGCAUGUAAGUAAUAAAAUCCCUAGGAUGAAUGAGAAAGUGUGAAAAUCUAAGCAAGUCUCUUUGACACCAAGUUAAGUAGUUCACACCGCAGAAGAACUCGUCAUCUCCAAUAUCUCCAAAUUCAGACUGCAAACACUCAACACCAAAUGAAUCAACGCCAAAAGAUUCGGAGAAAAAAAUUGAUUUAUCUACCGGAGAAAAUUUUUGAUUUACUUAUAUAUCAAGAACUCUUAACUCACUGCAUAACGGAUUAGACGCCGUCUCUCAAUUAUCAAAAUCGUUAAUAACAGCAAGAACUGUGAAAUUAAUGGCAUCAGGAAAUCAAGAAAAGAGAGAAAGUAGGUCACAAGAACAACUAGCAAACUAUGGAAUCAAGAAAUCAAAAUCAUACCCUUUCCUGCAACCAUCAAUAACAAAAAAAACCUCUUCAUAGUAGCAGCUAAAUCAAGAAAGAAAAGGACGACGAACCCUAAAAUCGAUAUAUCACAAAUCAAACAGAUAAAUCCGAGCAAUGUACAAUGGAAUGGAACGAGGGAACCGAUGGUUAUAUAGGAUGCGGAGUCAAGAUAGACGGCUAAGAAAACACGGAUGGUGGAACAUUUAAUGGUCACGAUGCAAUUAAAAU
rnacentral:lncRNA from 1 species